rnacentral:rRNA from 1 species
AGUGAACGCUGGCGGCGUGCCUAAUACAUGCAAGUCGAACGGAGUGGCGCACGGGUGAGUAAUAUAUAGCUAAUCUGCCCCUUGCUGGAGGACAACAGUUAGAAAUGACUGCUAAUACUCCAUAGCAAGGGAUGAGACUAUAGCUUAUCAGUUAGUCGGUGGGGUAACGCCCUACCGAGGCUCUGACGCGCAACUUGUCUGCGAGGAUUAUAAGUGACAUUGGAAAGGAGACACGGUCCAAACUCCUACGGGAGGAGGCAGGAGGGAAUAAGGCGCAAGGGGGGAAACCCUGACGCAGCAACGCCGCGUGGAGGAUUACACUUUUCGGAGCGUAAACUCCUUUUGUUAGGGAAGCGGUACCUAACGAAUAAGCACCGGCUAACUCCGUGCCAGCCGCCGCGGUAAUUC